GUUUGUAGCGCAGCGUUUGGCCUCAGGGAACUAUGGGAGACGUGGUUCAUGAAAGCACCGGAGCCGUGUGUAGAAUGACGCUGAUGCUCGUCUGACUACACCUCAAAGCUGGAGGGGUGUUUGUGUUUCAUGUGUGUUUGUGUGUGUGUGUGUGUGUGUGUGUGUGUGUGUGUGUGUGUGUGUGUGUGUGUGUGUGUGUGUGUGUGUGUGUGUGUGUGUGUGUGUGUGUGUGUGUCUGUGUGUGUGUGUGUGUGUGUGUGUGUGUG